rnacentral:misc_RNA from 1 species
GAAGAGGAGAGCAGAGUAUAUACUAAGACAGUCUAUGGAAAACCCACAGGAACUCACCCAGUUGUAAAGUAAUUCAUUGACUGACCAACUUAUUCAGGAAUGGCUGUAGCAGUGGGUUACGGGGGCUUGUUGUAUGGAUAUUAUAAAAUUCUAUUGUUUGUCCCUGCAAAUCCCACUGACAAUUUUUGGAGGUAUUUGAGCACUC